rnacentral:tRNA from 1 species
GGAUUGUAGCUCAGUGGUAGAGCGCUCGCCUAACAUGUGGGGCUCUGGGUUCGAUCCUCAGCACCA